CUUGUGAUUAUUCCUACCACAUGAAAUCCACACUAUAAAAUUUAUCACCUUUUCUUGUUCUCACCAACUAGACAAUUAGGCUCUUGGAGGUCCAAGACGGACCUUCUCCACACUUUUAAUUAUUUUUUGUUCUAUUGAUAUCUUUUCUUAUUUCUAAAAAUUGAGUUCUUUUUGUUUAUGCUAGGUCCAUGAAUUGGGCAACAUAGCCUCGUUCAUGAACCUUCUUUACUGAUAUACUCAAAUGGAGUUUGUUGACCAUGUCUUCUAUUUCUCUGCCAUCUCCUUUAUUCUUUGCCAUACUCUUUGUUCCAAUUAUGGACACUAAACAUCUUCAACGAUCGUGAUUUCCUUGAUUAAUGAAAUAAGUUUCCCACUUGAUCUUAAUGCUAAACCCGAUGAGGAGGAGGAACCAAUUUCUUGCUCCGAGGAAGCAAGUGCCAACAUUGGUGGAGAGUGUGAAACCAGACCCGCAACUUCUGAACCAGACGACAACAUUCGAGCAGAAGUUGCUGUUAUUGACAGAACCAACGUUGUUGAACGAGGAUCUACUCUGAGAAUAAAUUUUGUAUUUGGAACUUAUUAAAUGCUCCAUGAGGAUAUAAUUUAAUUUAUCAAUUUCAAUAUGACACAUACAUUAUUUUUUUUAGGAAUUAAUAACGUGUUAAAUCAAAAUUGGUCAUGACAAGGUAUACUUGGUGGUGGUGAUAUAUGAAAAAAAUUGAGAAUU